GAUGUGCGAAAGCGUGGGGAGCAAACAGGAUUAGAUACCUUGGUAGUUCCACCCGUAAACGAUGAAUGCUAGCCAGUGGCGGGUUUUCUCGUCAGUGGCGCAGCUAACGCUCUAAGCAUUCCGCCUGGGGAGUACGGUCGCAAGAGUAAAAAUCAAAGGAAUUGACGGGGGGCCGCACACGCGGUGGAGCACGUGUUUUAAUUUGACGCAACGCGCAGAACCCUACCAGCCCUUGACAUGUCCAGUAUGGGUUUCAGAGAUGAGAUCCUUCAGUUCGGCUGGCGGGAACACAGGUGGCGCAUGGUUGUCGUCAGCUCGUGUCGUGAGAUGAUGGGUUAAGUCCCGCAGCGAGCGCAACUCCCGCCUCUAUUUCCCCUCAUAUAGUUGGGCACUCUAAAGGGACUGCCGGUGAUAAGCCGCGAGGAAGGGGGGGAGGACGCCAAGUCUUCAUGGCCCUUGGGGGCGGGGUUCCCCACGUGUUCCAAUGCCGGUGCCAGAGGGAUGGAAAGGGGGGACCUUUCGCAAAUCUCAAAAAGCCGUCUCAGUUCGGAUUGGGCUCUGCAACUCGAGCCCAUGAAGUUGGAAUCGCUAGUAAUCGCAGAUCAGCACGCUGCGGUGAAUACGUUCCCGGGCCUUGUACACACCGCCCA
rnacentral:rRNA from 1 species